CCUACGCACUCCUACGGGAGGCAGCAGUGGGGAAUAUUGCACAAUGGGCGCAAGCCUGAUGCAGCCAUGCCGCGUGUAUGAAGAAGGCCUUCGGGUUGUAAAGUACUUUCAGCAGUGAGGAAGGUGGGUAUGUUAAUAGCAUAUUCAUUUGACGUUAGCUGCAGAAGAAGCACCGGCUAACUCCGUGCCAGCAGCCGCGGUAAUACGGAGGGUGCGAGCGUUAAUCGGAAUUACUGGGCGUAAAGCGCAUGCAGGUGGUUUGUUAAGUCAGAUGUGAAAGCCCGGGGCUCAACCUCGGAAUUGCAUUUGAAACUGGCAAACUAGAGUACUGUAGAGGGGGUAGAAUUUCAGGUGUAGCGGUGAAAUGCGUAGAGAUCUGAAGGAAUACCGGUGGCGAAGGCGGCCCCCCUGGACAGAUACUGACACUCAGAUGCGAAAGCGUGGGGAGCAAACAGGAUUAGAUACCCUGGUAG
rnacentral:rRNA from 1 species